rnacentral:rRNA from 1 species
AUUGAACGCUGGCGGCAGGCCUAACACAUGCAAGUCGAGCGAGCGGCGGACGGGUGAGUAAUGUAUGGGGACUGCCCGAUAGAGGGGGAUAACUACUGGAAACGGAGGCUAAUCCCGAAUACUAUCGGAUAACCCAUAUGGGAUUAGCUAGUAGGUGGGGUAAAGGCUCACCCAGGCGACGACCUCUAGCUGGUCUGAGGGGAGGAUCAGCCACACGGGAACUGAGACACGGCCCAGACGCCUACGGAGGCAGCGGUGGGAAAUAUUGGCAAAUGGGCGCAAGCCGGAUGCGGCCAUGCGGCGUGGAUGAAGAGGGUCUUAGGGUUGUAAAGUACUUUCAUCGGGGAGGCGUUACCCACAGAAGAAGCACCGGCUAACUCCGUGCCAGCCGCCGCGGUAAUAC